GUGAUCAACCCAUGUUGGCCUCAUAAAGUGCUGCUCUUACAGGCAUGAGCCACUGUGCCCGGCCUGACCUUGGAUGUUUUACUGCAUCCGUUUUCCCAACCAUUCAUGGCUUUGUAACUAGAGCACAGUGUUCUUUCCGUAGAAGGUACUUGAGGAAAGUGUUGCCUAACUUUUUAUUUGCUUGGGGUUGCAAUGUCAGCUUGCGGGAAAUGCACUAGAAAUGUGUGGGGAAACUCUGCUUAGCACCCUCCAUGACUCUCUCAUUUGGUUUUCAAGGACUGACAUAGUGAUGUCAUUCAUUCUUGAACAGAAAGAACUAGCCAACCUUGUUUUCAGAGUCUAGCACACCACUUUGAAUAGAGGCUAGAAUUCUCUUGCUAACCAUCACGCUAUGUACAAAGCAUAGCCAGUAACUUGCUGAAUUUCUGCAUCUCUUGGUCUUUAAUGGAAAAGCAUCUUCUCCAACCUAGGGAAUAAAGUAUACGCUUUGUAAUUUUAUGUAAGGAAAACCCAAUACUAGCUACUCUUUCUGGCAUGUUUACUAUGUGCCACAUAGAUGGUGCCUCUAUUAUGCUGUACAAAUGUUAAUUCAUUCAAUCCUUGGCCCUAACUGGUAAAAUGUAUAUUAUUCUGAAUUUUAUAAAUGAAAAGAGUGGGGCUCAGUUGCUUUUCCAAAGUCGCACAGCUAGAAAGUGGCAAAGUGUGGAGUCAAAUUGACUAACUAUAAGUCCUGCAGACCAGAAAAGGUGACACUUUGCCUUUGAAGACACAACAAGAGGGCUUUCCUGGAUGUCUGCCAGAAACUGCUGUCCUCUGGCAGGUGCUGGGCCUCUGUUCUCCAUGUUCAGACUCCUAAAGAAAACAUUUGUUUAUUUCUCUCUUCUUCUGGUCCCACUUUUACAUCCUAUCCCCAUGGGAGGGUAAAAAAGCAGAGGAGGCCCAUCCACCUCCACUUCUCCUCUUGAUGUUUGCACCAGCGGCCCCAGAGAUGGGGACAGACCGGACUCUGGUGCCAUGGACUGGCACGUGGUCUCAAGUUUCUGGCCCUGGAGUUGGAAUACAGUGCCACUUGCUCUGUAGGAGAUCAGAGGAAUGCUAUUUACAAACAUUGAGUAUCUGAACUCAUUUCAGUGGAUUUGGGAAAAUCACUCUCCAUGGGAAUAAAAGGUAUCGAGAAAGAAUUUUUAAAUACUCUAUAUAUACAUAGGUCGAAUUUAUUAUUUCCAAAUACAACAAAUAUAAUUAUCCUCUCCCAUGAUCUUAAACAGAUGUAUUCCAGAAACAUUUUGUCUGUGUCUUUAAAGGACUGCUUUGCUUUUUCUGAUAUUAGGUCAACAGAAAAAUGUACCACCCUGCUGGUAAAAGUCAGGUUUUGAGCAAUAUCUGCAUAACUGUUAGGUGUAUUAUCAUUAUUUUUUGUCUAACUUUCAUCCUGCACUCCUCAGCAGAACUGAAGAUACUCCCUGUUCCAAGGAAACUCAUAAUCUAAUGAUGCCAUUGGAAAGUCACUGGUUAUUGUUGUGGACCUUUUGCAAAUACCCUCCAAAAAAAGCUUAAUGUGAGUUUUAAUCCAGAUAAAUAAACCUAUUAAGAAGGAAAAGGAGAAGGAAUAAGUGGCAUGAAGAUUUACUACUCUUGGAGUUUGUUUUCUUCUCUGUAAGGAAGAGUUGUUCCCCAUUGCUUCAAUCACAAAAAACCAUUAAACACGGUCCAAGAAGGGGGGAAAAAACAUGGUAGAAGAUCACUUUAUAAGGGACAAUAAGUACUUGAAAAUUAGCAAACAUUCCUUUACAUUUGGGAACUCUUUAAGUGCUCAGGGUGAAUACAUGAGAGGAAGUAAAGAGUGAAGUGUGCAAACUCCAUUUUACAGUCAAUCUGGCAGCAGAAUUCUCAGUGUGUCAAGGAAGUAAGCAAAUGUUAGAGAGGUAAACAGAUUCCAGAUUAACUUACCUAGAAGAGUCUCCAAAAGCAGCUGGGAAGCAGAAGAAUGCAGCUCCUUUCUUGCCAUCUGUAUUGACUGGAAAUCCCCUGGUCUAGUGGUUCCAUUGGCAUGGGGGCAUCACCCUCCUUCCCCCAAACCCUUCAGAAUUUCCAAGGAAGCCUGUCAAGCUCAAUUAAGACUCAUUGUGUCCCCCAGGGUCCUUUUUGCCACAUGGAAGAAGACAGAAUAUGUCUUAUCUUGAUGAUUUUCUUCUAAUCAAUUUGAGUGUCAACAGCUAAAUUUGAAAAAUAGAAUGCAAAGUGAAGACUAGAUUUAUCAUUGUUAAGCUAGGAAACCAAGAGUCUGCAUUUCUGUAUUCUAGGGUGAAAAUGGGAAUUCACCUGUGGAACUCACUGGCCAUUGUGGAAGAAACAGUAAGAUGAUCCUCCCUUCAUUAUCCUGGCCAAUAUGCUCAGAGGGACACCUUGUAUUGCUGGAUGAUAAAAGAGGAACAAAGUGACGAAGUGCUGACAAGGCAAUGACAGAACAUGAGAGAUUUACUGCUGCGUGGGAAGAGAUCUUCAGUGAUCAUGUAGCCUGAAGCUCUCAUUUUGUCAUCGAGGGACACCAAAACUCAGAGCAGGGAACCUUGGAAGUCUGUCACUCUAAAUGAGUCUAUCACUCUAAAUAAAUAUGUGCUCAAGUAUGACCAGCUCAGUUUAAGACACAAAACAGCAACUUGAAGGAGGAAAACUGAAGAGAGUUUAUAGCCUCAGGAAAACUUUAGAGUAAUGCUUGCAGGAGCACUAACUGUUACAAGGAGGGUGAGAUCGAGAGUUCCAGAAAAAUAAGAGAGAAUCUUGCAUCUGGAGCAUAAAUGAUCUUCAAGAAAUACACACAGGAAGUUGAACAGGUAUAUAAACUUCAGAGAAGCUCUCUGGUCUCUCAAAAAUCCCUGUAAGUAUCACAGAGCAGCUGGGAUGCCUCAUUAUCCCCAGAUGCCUAAUUCAUUCUCAUCAUUGUGACUUCAGUCUUUAGCAUCUCAACAAAUAUGGAUAUCCAGCCACUUCUCAACCCCAAAUCCUCAAGAAAAAAGUGAGAUCAUGGGCUGCAUAUUUGAUCCAAAGAAGCUUCAUCAAGUCCUGGGAGUGUCAUCUUCCUAUUUUAGAUACAACUGUGGCCAAAAUAUUUAUCUACCACACAGCUCAUGUUUUCCUUCUCCAAGAAUACAACAGUUGCCCUGAUUAAGGUCUCUUUCAAAAAACUCUAAAAUACCAACUACUCACUGUUUCCAAUUACUCGAGGGAAAGCUAACUUCCAGACAGUCUAUCUGGGUGCAAUUAUUUCAAAUAUUUCUAAGUACUUGGGAGGAAGAGCUCUUGAAACUUUAGUCUCUGAUGACCAGUGUAUGAAUUCAGGUGCCUUUGGGACCUAAAGAAAACAAGAGAGUUCAUUUGAAGGAGGGAGGGUGGGAAAAAUAGAAGGAAGUGUAGUGUUUAGAUUCAUCGGUUUGGAAAGACUUUAAAAAUAUUUAUAUCAGUAUUGAGGAUUUGUGUAUGUUUUAUUUCUUGUCGUGGCUUUGAAGCAGUUACAUGUAUAUCCUCAAAGAUUUUAAGUAUUAUUUCAUAGAGAAUAUCUAUUUAUAAACACAAAUGUAUGAGAUGACUUUCAAUUUUGUUUUAUUUUUGCUGCAUCUCUUGGCCUGCAUUUUUUUUAACUUGAUUUCUUCUAAACUUUGUGAGCCCAGGACAGUGGUUUAUGGGACUUUUCUGAAGGGACAUCUGGAAAACCAAUUAAUGACAUUUCAGGUUGAGCAAGUACCCAUGCUAUGGUUCAGAUGUGUCCUAGUCUCCUGAUAAAGUUAAUAUAUAGGUUUAGAGUACAAUAAUCACAAUAAUAAUAAUAUAGCUAUGCUAUAUGGAGCCUGAAAAAAAUAAAAGAAAUAGAAAGCUCUCCUUCCUCCCCAUGACUAUGAGUUCUUCAAACUCUCAGUUCUUCAAAAAGCUCACGUUUUCUGUGCCUUUAAAUUUUAUGCCAGUCACUGUAUAGUUUAAUGCAUUUUGAAAAUUAUUCUUCACAAUGACUCUAUAAGGUAGGUAAUAGUAUCAUCCUCAUUUCAUAGACUUGGAAACUGGACUUAGAGAGGUUAGCACCUUGCCCAAGUUACAAGGUUGUGAGUGGCAGAGUUAGAACUCAAAUCUAACCCUGGCCUGAAGCCCAAGCCUUACCCACUGUGAUUUACAACCUUUCCUGUAUCAUCCAAGCUGCCCUUGAAGGCUGACACUGAGACCCAGUUAACCUGAACAUAGAGGUACCACUGGGCCCUGGAGAUGCAAAGGCUUAAAUUGCUAAUUCCAAAGGUAUGGACAACUUCUAUUGAAUUUGUUGAAGAUAAUGAAAUCUAGUUCUUCAACAAUUUAGGGAACACUGUCAGUAUUAAAAUUUGGUUUUGGUUUUGUCUCUCUUUUUAAGCAGGUGACAUGAAGAAAAUUUCAUUUGGAGAACAAGGACUAUUAUGUCCACUGAGUUUCUACAUGUCCAUUUAGUUUCUACUGUGUGUUGCUGGGUAUGAGGAACAGAGAAGUUAACAAAACAUGGUCCUUGCACCAAAACACAUAAACAUGUGACUAAAGCGUCUAUUUCACUGGGCAAAUGAUAGUUUUGUCCCUUAAGUCUACAUUUACUAUUAACACCUGGCUAAUCUCCUUAGGGUUAAUAACUCACAGUGGACACCUUCUUGUUCUAUACUGCUAAAAUGAGCUUGGUUCCCUUAAGGGUUCCUUUCCAAGUUUUCUGAGUGAACUGUGGGGUUAAUUCCACCUCCUCCAAACGUUUGCCACUUGUACACUUCUCUCCUUCCAUCUUCUUUGCAGAGCAGCCUUAUGCAGAAAACAAGCUCAAAAAUACAGAUUUUUCUUUGGGCAGGAUUCACACCCAACUCCCAAUGAAACAGAAUUCUAGGAGGUGAGAGCCAAAGUGGUAGAAUUGACCAUAAAAACACUUGAUCCAUCCCUUCUUUUUAAAAUGGAAUAACCAAAACUUUGAAGAGAUAAGUGGCUUGCCUGUUGUCCCAGAGAAAUAAACAACAAAUGCGAAACUUGAACUCAGGUCAUUUUUCAUUUUCUACAACUACAGUUCAUGCCAAGUACAAAUCCUAUGGUCAGAGAUGCCCCUGAUGUGAGCUGUGGUUCAUCACUUUGCACAACAAGUAGAUUCCUAGCAAAAGUUUAUUGAGCAAAUAUACUUGAAUGAGUUCCCAGCUUCUACUCUACCCCUACUUACCUCCCGUACCAGCCCUUUCUCUCACUGCAUGUUCCCUUCCUGAGCUUAACUACCCAGCAAUGCUAAUGCAACUCUUACCUGAGCAGCAGCAACAGGGACAGUAUUUCCAGAAAUAUGUCUGGGCAGAGACGAAGACUACUCUGGAGAGCUAUUUAGUCAGUGCAUUAUCAGGAUAUAUUUUGCUAGUUGACCCCUAGAUAUGCUACACAGAGGAUGAAGCAAGGAUGUUUUAGUAGUAGGGGUUGGUGACAAAUCAAGAGCCUAGGGAAUAGAGAGCAGUGAGAUAAUUGGGCCAAACCACUCAAAAAUGCAAAAACUAGAGAAAAUUGGUGGAUUAACUGAUUUGCCCAAGGCAAUACAGCUCUUUGACACCAGAGGGGGAAUUUGAACUCUGGUGUCAGGAUUCCUAGUCUGGCAACUCUACAUAAUGCUGCUCUCACAGCAGACCAGAAGCCAUAGUGCCUAGUUUGGGAGGUGCUUGUAGCGGGAUAAGGAUGGUGCAGAAAUGGGCUGGGUGUGAUGGCUCACGCCUGUAAUCCCAGCACGUUGGGAG